UCCUUAUCUCAGCACCCCAGGCAUGGCCCCCUGGGAAGUAUGCGGAGCAGUGGGCAGAGACCAGAAGAGCAUUGGCUGAGCAGAGGAACCCAGUCGGACUGCAGGACAGUGUGUCAAAGUCAAGGGGGUCCAAAUCGAUGUGCAAAACACUCCCCCGAAGACAAAGCCCUUUUGUAAAGCCACCAAGCCCCCCUCCCUGAACCCUGGAGCGAUGCUAACAGCCAUCCGGUCAGCCAUGGAUGGACACACCUGCUUCAAUCAACACCAAGGUAGAGACUGAGGUUAACAGCAAGUCAGUUCAUAUCACACUCGAGUCACACUCCUUAUCCACUUUGGUUACUUGUAAAAUUGUAAUCACCUAAGAAUUUGACUUCCUUUACCAUUGAAUGCACUGUCCACUGUAUUUGAGUGCCUGAGGAUAAUUCUUUGUAUGGCCUAAAAUAUUGAGUCUGCUGCUUUUGAUCAUUUUAUUGUCAAGUAUCCUAACAUUUCGAAUGUCAAAAACAAGACAAUGUUAACUGUAGUAAGCACAAGACAGCCCUGCCCCUGCGAAACAGCAGCAAUCCAUACAAAUUUUAAUUAAAGUGUAAUCAGCCCUGAUUAUAUGUUGUUAUGACUUUGUUAAAUUGUGUCUCCCUUAAUUAUAUUCAAUAAUGAAUUGAUG